rnacentral:rRNA from 1 species
UACGUAGGGCGCAAGCGUUGUCCGGAAUUAUUGGGCGUAAAGAGCUCGUAGGCGGCUUGUCACGUCGGAUGUGAAAGCCCGAGGCUUAACCUCGGGUCUGCACUCGAUACGGGCUAGCUAGAGUGUGGUAGGGGAGAUCGGAAUUCCUGGUGUAGCGGUGAAAUGCGCAGAUAUCAGGAAGAACACCUAUGGCGAAGGCAGCUCUCUGGGACGGUACUGACGCUGAGACGCGAAAGCGUGGGGAGCGAACAGG